rnacentral:rRNA from 1 species
AUUGAACGCUGGCGGCAUGCCUUACACAUGCAAGUCGAACGGCAGCACGGGAGCAAUCCUGGUGGCGAGUGGCGAACGGGUGAGUAAUAUAUCGGAACGUGCCCAGUAGUGGGGGAUAACCCGGCGAAAGUCGGACUAAUACCGCAUACGACCUACGGGUGAAAGCGGGGGAUCGCAAGACCUCGCGCUAUCGGAGCGGCCGAUAUCAGAUUAGCUUGUUGGUGGGGUAAAAGCCUACCAAGGCGACGAUCUGUAGCUGGUCUGAGAGGACGACCAGCCACACUGGGACUGAGACACGGCCCAGACUCCUACGGGAGGCAGCAGUGGGGAAUUUUGGACAAUGGGCGCAAGCCUGAUCCAGCCAUGCCGCGUGCGGGAAGAAGGCCUCGGUU